rnacentral:rRNA from 1 species
AACGAACGCUGGCGGCGUGGAUAAGACAUGCAAGUCGAACGCUAAUUUGGUUGUAGCAAUACAGUCAAGUUGGAGUGGCGCAAGGGUGCGUAACACGUGGGUAAUUUGCCGUGAAGUUGGGGAUAACUCGCUGAAAGGCGAGCUAAUACCGAAUGUGAAAAUCGAAAGGCAUCUUUUGAUUUUUAAAGUUGGGGACCGUAAGGCCUGACGCUUCUCGAUAAGCCCGCGGCCUAUCAGCUAGUUGGUGAGGUAACGGCUCACCAAGGCUAAGACGGGUAGCUGGUCUGAGAGGACGACCAGUCACACUGGAACUGAGACACGGUCCAGGCACCUACGGGUGGCAGCAGUCGAGAAUUUUUCUCAAUGGGCGAAAGCCUGAAGGAGCGACGCCGCGUGGGGGAUGAAGGGCUUCGGCUCGUAAACCCCUGUCAUUUGCGAACAAACCUUACGAUUGAACAGAUCGUGAGCUGAUUGUAGCGAAAGAGGAAGGGACGGCUAACUCUGUGCCAGCAGCCGCGGUAAUACAGAGGUCCCAAGCGUUGUUCGGAUUCACUGGGCGUAAAGGGUGCGUAGGUGGCAAGGUAAGUUUGAUGUGAAAUCUCCGGGCUUAACCCGGAAACUGCAUUGAAUACUAUCU